AGCAAAUCCUAUCAUUUACUAUUAGAAAUCCUUCUGUAUGCUUCCCUUUUCGACUUGAGCAAGAUUCCUUCAAUUCCAUUGCUCAAGUAUAUCUCACUUUUGAUAUGCAUGGACUUAUGGUUCCAUUGUUAUCUGAAAAUUUUCUAAUUCUGUUUGCUUUGAACUAUUUCUUUAGUUCUGCAGAAUGGGGAGACAUAUGUGAUGUGUCACGUAUCUGAUUUUAUUGAGUAGGUUAAUGUAACCAACAUAUGUAUAAAAACGCAUUAGUGGAUUACUGGAUUAGGAGCCUGGGUAGCUGGAUACACAUUCGUCAAUUUGGUAUCUGAUCUUUAGCAUUCGAUUUCUUUCGCUGUCAUUUGUCAAGUUGUUGAUCGAUUUUUAUUGUAGGAAUAUGAUUAUGCCAGUUGAUGUACCAUACAAAGAUAUUCUUCUGUCUAUGAAAUGUUUAUUUAUUGAGGUGUUUACAAAUACAAACACACAUCUAUGAUCUAUUCUUUUAUAUAUUGAUGUUUCUUAGCUAAAACUAAAAUGUUUUCUCUGCUUGUCGCAGUUUAAAAUUUGAGGGACUUCCUUGUCUAGCUGCCUUUAUUUAUGUCGAUUAAAAUGCAUUAUGCUUUUUAAUGAUACUACUGUUUGUUUUGG
rnacentral:misc_RNA from 1 species